CCUACGGGAGGCAGCAGUGGGGAAUAUUGCACAAUGGGGGCAACCCUGCUGCCGCGACGCCGCGUGAGUGCAGAAGUACUUCGUUAUGUAAAGCUCUAUCAGCAGGGAAGAAAAUGACGGUACCUGAGUAAGAAGCCCCGGCUAACUACGUGCCAGCAGCCGCGGUAAUAUGUAGGGGGCAAGCGUUAUCCGGCGUUACUGGGUUUAAAGGGAGCGUAGACGGCAGUGCAAGUCUGGAGUGAAAGGCGGGGGCUCAACCCCAGGACUGCUCUGGAAACUGUACGGCUGGAGUGCAGUAGAGGUAAGUGGAAUUCCGAGUGUAGCGGGGAAAUGCUUAGAGAUUAGGAGGAACACCAGUGGCGAAGGCGGCUGACUGGACUGUAACCGACGUUGAGGCUCGAAAGCGUGGGGAGCAAACAGGAUUAGAUACCCCGGUAGUC
rnacentral:rRNA from 1 species